rfam:Hordeum vulgare subsp. vulgare, WGS project CAJW01000000 data, contig: morex_contig_160854
CUCUUACUCCCUCCGUCCCAAAAUUCNNNNNUUAGAUUUGUCUAGAUAUGAAUGUAUCUAGUCACAAUUUAGUAUUUGGAUACAUUCAUUUCUAAAUAAACGUAAGACAAGAAUUUCGGGACGGAGGGAGUACUUU